GUUGGGAAGUUCACUACGACUCUUUGCAGAGCAGAAGGAAAUGUAUUCGGAUGCCAGCUCCGCUGGAUGCCGGGGAUGGAGAGGCAGCUUGACCCGAGAAGCGCUUCUCCAUUGAGCCAAGCCCCGAGAUUUCCUAGAGCCUUUGCUUGGAUACCUGUUUUCCCGGUGCAGAGCGCAACUUGAAGACAGGAUUCUUGCCUUCAGGGAGCUUAAGGUCUGUCUUCAGUGCAGGAAAUUGACGGUUAAACAAUAGGAAAGCAGAUAGAUCCUUGUUAGUCUCUGCGAUGAUCCAGAAGGUUACAGUGGCGGCGAACUCUUAUGGCGGUGAAACAACAGGCUUCUCGCUCACAAACCUGGGAGGAAGUGACCAGAACACACAGGGAAGGAACGGUCCCAUUCGAGGAGCAGCCUGGACCUCUGGUCUCAGUGCCAAUGUGCACUAGUCCAGUCAGCACUGGGAACAUCUGAGGCUGACUCUCCGCAGAGAUGUUUUCCUGUUCCCUAACCUUCCCUAGCCUUAUGCUUGGUUAUCUACUGUUUUCAAGACAAACAAAGGAAAACCCAAAUACGGUGUAUUCACAUGCAAUGCCGUAUGCCUCCCCGUGACCACUUCCAUUCUUCCCUAAGACAAGGUGAGCUUGAUUGAUCAUCUAUUCCUUUGGAAAACUGUGGGAUGUGGCCAUUGCUCUGAUGGAUGCACCCAACAGCCAACUUCGCCCAACCGUGUGCACAUUUAUGGCUGGGACAAAGGUGCAGAUGCCCUAAUCCAGGACGCGGUGAAGCACUCUGCCCUUUCUCCUUCAGCAUGAGAUCCAUACCCACUUAGGCACUGUCGCGGCUUGACUGGUAACCUACUGUUCUAAAUAUGUUUUUACAUUACACUCACCUCAUGGGCCACCCUUCCCUCCCAAUCCCCUUUUAUAAAGCUCACAUAUUACCCAAACCCAACACUUUCAUUUCAGCCCGCCCACUUUCUCUAGCGGAGAGCAAAGAAGGAACGCACAUCCGCUCUGCCUGUGGUACAGCCCACUCUUCCCUUUGGGAGUCGAGUUCCAGGCCGUUUUCAUCAUCCGAGCCUGAAUCGAGUCCUGUAACAACUUCAGAGAUUUGAUAGCGAGAGGUGGCAUCUCGCCAUCUUGCACUGAGGCUACCUGUUAUGUGUGGGAACGCACAGCACAGUUCACCCCACUGAUUUCCACAAUGAUUGCAAGAUACCUCUUGUGUGUGUCAUCCUGGUGUGUAGCAUAUUAAUGACACCGCAGUGGGUAAAGAGCUGACCAGCCAGAUGAAAAAAAAAAUCCCUGAGCCAUUUGUGUUACGCCAUUUUGGCAAUUCAAUCAUGAAAGUCUCAGUCACAUGAAGGACCCAUUAUUGACCUAUAAUAAAAAGGCAAUUUCAUGAACCUCAACAGAAAACUGCAUUCUUUGAUGCAUUUCCCGUCUUCCCAACUAGUUCCUUAGUUCCUCUUAUAAAAUUAAUUUUUCUGAGAACUUCUUACAUGAGUAUACUGUACUUCGUAACAUUCCCGGGCCUCCCUGCCCACUCUUGUGUGGACUUAGUGAUUCUCGGGUUUUUUUCUGAGGUCACUGCCCUGCUUAGCUGUCCUGAAGACAGGACUAACUCACCCUAGGAACCACAGAGCUAAGUGAAAAGUGCAGUCCUCUCUCCACGGUGUAUGCUCACUGGAACCAACAGCGUGUCUCUCUGAUUCUCAGACUUCCUGUGUCCAAAUUUUCUCUCUCUCCUUUUCUUUUGGAACUGAGUUGAACCCAGGGCUCUGCACAUGAUGGGUGAGUGCCCCAGCACUAAACUGUAUCCUAAGCCCCAUUCCUACUUUUUAUUUGAGACUUUGAGACAGUCUCACUGUGUCACCAGGCUGCCCUUGAACCCCCACAGGUAGCCCAGCUCAUCUUACCUUGGUGUCCUGAGGAACUAGAAUCACUAACCUCAUCCACCCAGCCAGGCUUCACCCCAAAAUCCACAAACUUCUCAAGGGAACUACCUCAGGGACACCCCACCAUCACCCUGGACUCAUGAAUUUGUAGUGCUGUCUCUCUGUUUUGGAGAUUUGCUUGCUCCUAGCCAGGCAGUACAGAAGGUGGUAUUCUAAUGAGAGAAGAUGGCGGAUUGCACUUUGAAGUCUUGUUUAUUGAGGAAAAGCUCUUGCCUUGGGCUGCUAAGGACACAGCUGAAAGUAUUCUGCCAGUUGGCUGGACUCGAAAGGAAGAUAGGAGAGAUGAUGCAAGCAUUUGUUCUUAACCCAAUGGACAGACAUAAAGCACAUACUUUACCGGACUAUACAUACAUGCACACCAUAUAGAUGUGGCAAUGCCUUUCAUAUCAGACAUUACUGACAAAGGAUAGGCCUGGGCUUUAUACACUCUGGAGUGCCUGUUUAAGAACAAGGUGGGGCUUUGUUUAUUUGUUUGUUUUUAUGGUGUGAACAUGAACUCUUAAAAUUGUGGAAAUAAAUAACAACAAUUUAAAUUUCUUUAAUAUUCAUAAAUGUUAUGAAACAAAAAAUUUAAAUAACAAUUCUUGUGAGGAAAGUGCCUGACACUUCUGCACUCCUUGCUUCCCUCCGUGUUUAAAACACAUAUCUUGGAGCAUCUUUUUACAUAAUGAUUUAAGGUCACAUGUCUAUGAAAGUAAUCAAAUAACAGAAAGUUGGCGCUGUUUUGCACUUUUGAGAUAAUUUAGAAUAAUGGCUUUCUUACUGCUAGACCUGAAUUCUACAUUCUGGGGAAUUGUCAAGUUUGAGGGGAAAAAAAUCAUCAAAUGUCAUUUUCCUAUAGCUGUAAUGUUAUAAGAACUUCAACUUUCCUGAAUUAACCUUGAUUUGUCCUAGAACUGACGACACUGACUAGUUUCCGACGGGUUCUAGGCUUGACAUUAUCAGCGACAACUUGAGUAUUUUGUCUCAUAUCAGACAGAAGAAUUAAGAUCUUUUCCCCUAGGUGUCCGUAUGAGUCACUCCUCUCCAUUAAUUAGAUUAUCCAAUAAUGCUGGAGUCUGCUCAUUAUUUCUCUUCAACGUUCUCUCUCUUCUAAAAAGAACUACGGUUUUCUGUGAUCUGUGCUGGGGGAGGGCUGCAGUGGCUCCUUCUCUCAGGCUAAUUUCUGCUGAUGUCAGUGUUCAGCUUCGACUGAACUCUUCUGUUUUCGAUUUCACUAAUUUUCGUGAGUUUUCUCUUGGUUCUUUGAUGAGUGACUAUAACCAAUAGGAGGAGGGGCUCUUUCAGCACAGCACAAGGGACUCCUUCAUUAAAAUGUCCCAAAGUGUCCUUCCAAGCUGCGGCAAACUUUGAAAUCCUUCCCUGAACUUUGUGCAGCCCUCCAUUUUUGGAUUUCUCUUCCCAGCCUAUUGAAUUUUUUAGAAACUUGAUGUUGCUGAGCUCCUUUCCAAAUUCUGAGCCCCUUUCAAUUGGAAAACAGUGCACACAGAUUCUUUAAGCAAAAUCUGAAUGUGUCGAGCAUAUUUAAAAUAGAUACUUUGGGGGAGAGCAAGAUGGCCCACUGGUUAACAGUGCUUACUCUCUUCACAGAGGACCCGAGUUCUGUUCCUAGCACUCACACGGUGGCUCAAAAACACCUGUAACCCUAGUUACAGGGAAUCUGAUGACGACUUCUGGCUUAAAGAAGCAAGUGCACACAUAUAAGCAAUAAAUAAAUAUGGUGCGUGCCUGUACUUUUAACACUGGGGAGGAGGAACACAGGCAAAUUCCUACAGAGCCAUUGAUCAGCCAUCUUGAGUUACUUGGCAAGAUCCAGGUCCCAGAGAGAGAGAGAGAGAGAGAGAGAGAGAGAGAGAGAGAGAGAGAGAGAGACUGUUCAAAAACCAAGGCAGAUGGCUCCUGAGGAAUAACACUGAAAUUAAGCCUCUGUGAACACACACACACACACACACACACACACACACACACACACACACACAUACACACACACUAAAGAAAGGAAAGGAGGGAGGGAGGGAGGUCAGACAUCUACACAGUAUUAGGGCUUCUCCAUGGUCUUAGAUGGGGCUGUGGUUCUGAAGCUGCCUUUACUUCAAAGUCAGUCCUACCUCUGCUUUAUAACUAAUAAACAGCGGGCUUCUUGUUUCUGAGGGAAACACUUGAAUGAAUUUUUAAAAAAGUAAUUUGUUAAGGACUCUGUCAACAAUGCACACAGGAAAGCCUUGUGCUAAAUCCAACCCACCUUCCUUCCAUGCUCUAGGAGAGCAUAGACACCCAGAAGAGCAUUUGGUUUUAAUGCCUCUCACGAGCAUGCUGAGCUCCUACCUUCUCAUCUUGACUCUUUUCAAAGAAUCUCUGUUUUGUUCUUAUCAUAAUGAUAUUAAUUACUCAACCCAGGCAAUCUUUUCCAGGACAGUUAAAUAACUCGCACCCAUUGUCUGAAGGCUUGCUUGUCCAGCAACCAUGAAAAUUAUUCAUUUCCCAAUGCCAUCUAUGUGUGCUUUGUGGUGACACCUUGCUCCUUAAAUUUGCCUUGUGGUUUGAAAACUUACACAAGAGAGCAGGGGUAAGGGAAUAAUGAAGACUGAGAGGAGUUUGGCCUCUAGGAAGAAGGAAGAUACAAUGUGGUAAGAAGGGACAAGAGGACCUCAGAAGGAGAGGAUUUGAACAGAGCAUCCUUUCUACAGUCACUCAUCCAAAAUGGAAAUGACCCCUAGUCAGCACAAUUAUUAUUGGCAUUGCCUUACUAGUUUGCUUGUUUAUUAUUAUUAUUAUUAUUAUUAUUAUUAUUAUUAUUGAUGAUGAUGAUGAUGAUGAUGAUGAUGAUGAUGAUGAUUUUCCCCCUUUACAUAGCAAAGAUGCAAUACUAUAUCUGGUCCAAGUAAAUCUUUUUUGAAAAUUAUUUCAUGUGUAUCUGUGUUUUGUCUUUCUGUAUAUAUGUAUGUGUACUGGCUGGUUUUGUGUGUAAACUUGAAACAAGCUGGAGUUAUCACAGAGAAAGGAGCCUCUCUUGAGGAAAUGCCUCCAUGAGCAAGCCAGGAGAAGCAAGCCAGGAAUAGAAACCCUAAGACAAAUUGGUACCAGAAGUGGGGUAUUCCUGUGACAACCUGGCCAUGUUUCGGGGAGGAAUGUGGAAAGACCUUGGAACUUUGAGUUAGAAGAGCCAUUGGAACAUUAAGAGUUCUGUAGGAGCUUGGAAGAUAAUGUUGAGAACAGUGCAGAAGAUGGAGGCCUGGCUUAUGAAAUUUCAGAGGGAAGGUUAAACACUCUUAUCAGGGCUGUUGCUAUUUUUAUUGUGAAGAUUCGUGGCUGAAGAAUCAGCUGUUAUUAACAAGAUAACAGCACUACUGGGACUAUUGGUGCUGGUCAGCUGGAGCUAAGAAAUUAGUGGUAAUUAAAAAGAGAUCAGCAUCAUAGAGGUGAAUUCUUGGAAGUGUUUUCUGAAAGCACAAAGAGGCUAUGUUCAAGAAAUAGCCAAGGUUGUACCUUGUGCUGUGGCUGGACUUGGUAAUGUAUAAGAGUCAUCCAGGUGGUACUGGUUUUGAAGACAUGAAGGGAUCAUGAAGAACAGCUGAGGCUGGGCACUGUGAGAGGCCAUGGAGAGCCACUGGUGAAGGUGCAGCCUCAGUUGCAAUUGAUGGCCUAGUACUGAAGGGGUCAUGCAAAGGAGCUGAGGCUUGGCACCAUGAAGAGAGCCUAUGAAAGGCCAUUGGUGAAGCCUAGUUGCAGCAGAAGAUAGCAAUGUUUUGGAGAUGCCAGUACCAUGAGAUGACCACCACCAACAGUAGCAGCAGUGGAGAACAGGCAUCUGGAGCCUAGAAGACAAGGUGUGUGCUACAAAGGGCAGAGCUGGAAAAGUGAGCCAAGCGCUCAAAGGAACCCAGAAGAUCAUGAGUAGAUCCCAAACAUUGGAUAGUUAGAAUUUCAUUUCAUUUUUGAUUGUGACUGUCCCCUAAUAUUUCUCCCUCUUGAAGGAAGAAUGUAUAUAGUGGAGCCUAUAAUUAAGAAACUUUGAAUUGUAAAAAACUUUGAAUUUUAAAAGAGAUUAGAUAUUUUAAAGGAAUUGAAUUUUUAAUAUGUAAGAAUUUGUAAAGACUGUGGGACUCUUAAAGUUAUUUAGAUCUUGGGAAUAAAUAAGAAAGUAAGGGUUGAGACUUAAUAGUGACGUGUUUAUGUGUCGAGUUGACAAGGGGUCAAUUGUGCUGGCUCUUUUUGUGUCAACUUGACACAAACUGGAGUUAUCACAGAGAAAGGAACCUCUCUUGAGGAAAUGCCUCCAUGAGACCCAGCUGUAAGGCAUUUUCUCAACUAGUGACCAAAGGGGAAGGACCCAGCUCCUUGUAGGUGGUGCUGUCCCUGGGCUGGUAGUCUUGGGUUCUGUAAGAAAGCAAGCUGAGCAAGUCAGGGGAAGCAAGCCAGUAAGAAGCAUCCCUCCAUGGACUCUGCAUCAGCUCCUGCUUCCUGACCUGCUUGAGUUCCUGUCCUGACUUCCUUUGGUGAUGAACAAAAAUAUGGAAGUGUAAGCUAAAUAAAACCUUUCCUCCCCA